rnacentral:tRNA from 1 species
GCUAAGGUAAUUUAAGAGUAGAAUUUUGUCUUGAAGCGACAAGAGUGGAAAUCCUCCCCUUAGUA